rnacentral:rRNA from 1 species
GUAGGUGGCAAGCGUUAUCCGGGAAUUAUUGGGGCGUAAAGCGCGCGCAGGCGGUUUCUUAAGGUCUGAUGUGAAAGCCCACGGGCUCAACCGUGGAGGGUCAUUGGAAACUGGGGAACUUGAGUGCAGAAGAGAAAAGCGGAAUUCCACGUGUAGCGGUGAAAUGCGUAGAGAUGUGGAGGAACACCAGUGGCGAAGGCGGCUUUUUGGUCUGUAACUGACGCUGAGGCGCGAAAGCGUGGGGAGCAAACAGGAUUAGAUACCCUGGUAGUCCACGCCGUAAACGAUGAGUGCUAAGUGUUAGAGGGUUUCCGCCCUUUAGUGCUGCAGCUAACGCAUUAAGCACUCCGCCUGGGGAGUACGGUCGCAAAGACUG